AUAAUAAAGAUAAUGACAAUAGUAAUGAUAAUAAUACUGUAUUAUUAUUAUUAUUGUAUAUAUUAAAUAAGCCUCUUUCAUUUUUCAUGUCCAUCUUCUCCACCCCUCUUUCUUCUUCACCAUUCAACCCUAGAGCAGUCGCCGCCCCACUUCAGCCAUCGUCGCGCACAACACUCCAGUGAGAGAGUCCUCGUCACGGUCGCAUAGUCGAAGCAUCACGGUCACGAAGCACAACCGUUCGUUUCUCUCCAGCCGUGUCGACUCGUGUUGCAUCGGACAGUCGAACGACCCCUAUCUUCCGCCGUGCGCUCCUCCUUCGCGUCGUCGAUCGUAACCCUCUCUUUUGUCGAAACCAUCAUCGGUCGUAGCCUCCACUUGCACAGCACCGCCGGACAUCAUCGCGCUUGACAGUCAAGGAUGCAAGCCAUGACAAUUUUCUUUUCGCGAGCCACACGUCCAAGCCGCGUCAGUUCAAGCCGUGUCCCUUCACCGAGCCGCGUGAGUCAUCUCUGUUGAUCCAAGCCGUUCCAUGUAAGCCGUACGCGAGCCAUACACAACUGAGUCGAUCCUGUGUGAGCCGUAUGCGAGCCGUGAGUCUCAAGACCCGAGCCGAAGCCUUGCUAGCCGAGCCACCUUCAGUUUUAGCCGUCUGCAACAUAUUUAAGCCCUUGGUUAAGGUGUGGUUGAGGAAUUGAAUUGUGCAAAUUUCAAUUUAAGGUUGUAUUGAGAUCAACUUUAAAUCUUUGGGGUAAGUUUGAUUGAAUUGGUUGCCUAAUUAAACAGUAAA